GACGAACGCUGGCGGCGUGCCUAAUACAUGCAAGUUGAGCGCUGAAGGUUGGUACUUGUACCAACUGGAUGAGCAGCGAACGGGUGAGUAACGCGUGGGGAAUCUGCCUUUGAGCGGGGGACAACAUUUGGAAACGAAUGCUAAUACCACAUAAAAACUUUAAACACAAGUUUUAAGUUUGAAAGAUGCAAUUGCAUCACUCAAAGAUGAUCCCGCGUUGUAUUAGCUAGUUGGUGAGGUAAAGGCUCACCAAGGCGAUGAUACAUAGCCGACCUGAGAGGGUGAUCGGCCACAUUGGGACUGAGACACGGCCCAAACUCCUACGGGAGGCAGCAGUAGGGAAUCUUCGGCAAUGGACGAAAGUCUGACCGAGCAACGCCGCGUGAGUGAAGAAGGUUUUCGGAUCGUAAAACUCUGUUGGUAGAGAAGAACGUUGGUGAGAGUGGAAAGCUCAUCAAGUGACGGUAACUACACAGAAAGGGACGGCUAACUACGUG
rnacentral:rRNA from 1 species